UAGGGAAUCUUCGGCAAUGGACGAAAGUCUGACCGAGCAACGCCGCGUGAGUGACGAAGGUUUUCGGAUCGUAAAACUCUGUCGUUAGAGAAGAACAAGGACGUUAGUAACUGAACGUCCCUUGCCGGUAUCUAACCAGAAAGCCACGGCUAACUACGUGCCAGCAGCCGCGGUAAUACGUAGGUGGCAAGCGUUGUCCGGAUUUAUUGGUCGUAAAGCGAGCGCAGGCGGUUUCUUAAGUCUGAUGUUAAAGCCCCCGGCUCAACCGUGGAGGGUCAUUGGAAACUGGGGGACUUGAGUGCAGAAGAGGAGAGUGGAAUUCCAUGUGUAGCGUUGAAAUGCGUAGAUAUAUGGAGGAACACCAGUGGCGAAUGCGGCUCUCUGGUCUGUAACUGACGCUGAGGCUCGAAAGCGUGGGUAGCAAACAGG
rnacentral:rRNA from 1 species